CACAAUCAAAACCUAUUUCAAAGAAGGAGUCACAAAGUGUUGGUUAAAUUGUAAUUUGGAGAAAUGAAAAGACCAAUGAAAUUUACAAUAUGGGAUGGAUUUCAAAUUUUCAAGUUUCACCAAGAAUAAUAAUCUUUAACAUGAUUAUCAAAACAAACCUCAAUAACCAAUCAGCAACAUUGUUAUGAUUAACUAUCCAAUUUACUAUUACCUGGAUGGCGACUGGAAAAUUGUCUGACAAUUAACCCACAAAAUUGGUUCAAUCAUGUGAAACAUUUUCUCGUGUUGACUAUCCUUUAAUUAAAGUCCUAUUUUCACGUUUUACGGUGCAUUUAUAAAGAAACCGUUUUGUCUGGAAACCCAACAUUUAACCUACCAUGAGAUUUAAUUUUUGUGUGUGAUCACUUUACAUGAUCCUUAAUGCAUUUGAAAGGGAUGUUAUAUUUAUCCAAACCAACCCAUUUACAUAAAUUUGAAAAGCACCCUGUGGCCUGAGUAAAAUGGAUAAUAUCCCUUUGAAACUAGUGAAAUCAACUUCAAGAAUGGAUUCUCCUUUUGAGCAAAAAAAGAGAGACUGAUGAAAGUUUCAUUUCAACCAACCUUUUCUGUAUCACUCUCAAUUACAUAAUUUAAAAGUCAAUUUGGUUGGUUUCAACAAAGUAUGCGAAAAUUGAUCACUUUUUAGCGAAAAGUGAAUAAGAUUGAUUUCAAUAACCAUCUACAUAAACCAGUAAAGUCAAAACAAAACGCUGCAUCAAUCUUUCUCUCUCUUGCUGUUGGAUCAAAAUUUUAAAGUUUUUAAACUUGAAUUAUGAAGUUGAACAUUUUAGGCAAAUCACAAAGUCACUUUGGUACGUUGAGGGAACGAUAAAGAGUUGAAAUUAACUAAACAUGUAACUUGGACUACUUUACGGGUCAACAUUUACCUCAUUCAUUUAUCCGUCGAAAAAGGAAAGGAAAGUGGAAAAAUGGUGAAAUAAAAAUUGGCCUGAUUGAAUAUUGAAGACAAUUAAAUUGCUGGGAUUUC